AGAUUAAGUUAUUAAGGGCGCACGGUGGAUGCCUUGGCACUAGAAGCCGAUGAAGGACGUUACUAACGACGAUAUGCUUUGGUGAGCUGUAAGUAAGCUUUGAUCCAGAGAUUUCCGAAUGGGGAAACCCAGCAUGAGUUAUGUCAUGUUAUCGAUAUGUGAAUACAUAGCAUAUCAGAAGGCACACCCGGAGAACUGAAACAUCUUAGUACCCGGAGGAAGAGA
rnacentral:rRNA from 1 species